rnacentral:tRNA from 1 species
UCAGUGGCCGAGUCGAUAACGCGAUUGCAUUUGAAGCGAAAGGUACUGGGUUCGAGUCCCAGAGUGA